UUUUGCUUCCAACAUUAUGCUCCUCCAGCUGUCAGAGAGACAUCACCCAAAACACUGUUGCCGCAAGAGGGUACAGCUGCUUAUUUUCUUCAUGUGCUUCUAUGCUGCCCUGCAGAUACUGUUUCUUCUCGCCUAAUUGAGCAGCAGCUCUUCCUGGGACUGGUUUGCAAUAAUCCUGAGGCCUCAUCAGGGAAAACAUUCUGAAAAGUAGAGAAGGAAAAGCUGCCCAAGUGAGCCAGCUUUUGCCAGGAGUCUCCCUCUGUAGUUCCAGGAAUGGAGUUAUGGAAGUGUCUGGUGUUUCAAAAUAUAACCUUAAUAGAAGAGGGAGCAGAUAAUUCCAGUGUGGACAUCAGUGAUGGAAAGCUGACCAAAGAUAUUUUAAGGUAAGAUUUGAGGGAGAAAUGGCAAAUUGGCUGGUAACGUGUAUUAUAUUAUUCAGCCAAAUAGUCAGUCUCUGGAUGUGUCAGAGACUUACAAUGAUAUACAAUCUAUACAAAUAACUCCUAUAGUGGUGUCUAGACAAGCUGUCUCGUCACAUGGAACUUCAUAGGAUUCAGCAGACCAUGGCAGGGACUAGAACCAGAGUCUCUGAAGUAAAUGAACAUGGAACAUGCUGACUUUAACCUCUGGACCAAUUAAAACUGCCAUCUCUUGAAAAUAAAUGUGAAACUACCACAGAGCUAUCAUUUAACAGAAACGUAAAUUUUUCUCUUUGUACUGUACGUAGUCUUUGCAUGUUGCAUUCCACCAUGUAUUAGUCACCUAUUCGUUUAUUACCAGAGUUUGGCAUGAGUUAACACCCUUUUAUUUAAGACAAAAAUGCUGAAAAAUAAUAAAAAAGACACAAUAGGACUGCAGACAUAAUGGACUGGUACCAGCUGAACUUCAUACAUGCAAUGUCAAAUUGAACUCAGAACUUUUCCUCCAAAACAGACCUCUACCUUUUGAAUGAGAUCAGAAUAUCCAUUAUUAAGACUACCAGGCAGUCAGCAGUAUUGAGUAUUUUUUCCUUUUAUAGACCUCAGGCCACUAGAGGAGACACAAUCAUAUUGGACAGGGCCUAAUUCUAUCUAGUCAAGGGAAAUAGUACUACACAGACACAUGCAUCAGCGUAUUAAACGUCUAACAAGGAGGAAGCAUUAUUGUUACUAUGAAGAAGUGGGUUGUGCCCACUGUUAGUAGGAAUUUAAUGUUAACAGAAAUGCACUGAAACAAAAUGGAGACUGAAUCUAAAAGGACAAUCCAAAAUGGAGUUGUGGUGCAUGAUGGGACUUUAAAAUGGAACCCAACAGACUGUGAGGACUUUUUGCCACCAAAACAUCCUCUGCACAUGGCACGUGUCCAUGCACACUGCACCAGUUGUCUGCACCCAGCACCAUGUGUUUGCACACAGCACCACGCCCUGCUUUGCACUCAAGACCAUUGGAGUUUCCCGCCUUGGAUUCUAUAAAACCUAGAAGUCUGAGGAGAUCUGGUCGGCAGUUUCUCACUACACCUGGAGAAGGAGUCGUCAUGUCACAGAGGAGACUAUGGUGAAGGCCCAGUCUAACCUGUCUGGUUCUACUCCUGCCGCCCUCAGGGUGCUUCGGCCCACUCUGUGGCGAAAGCCCAGUAUCGUGAGCCCUAGCUACUUGAUAUCCGAUCCUACGUCAUCGGGACCGCAUAGAGCCUCCGGCAUCAGCUGUGGUGAAGGCCCUCCUGGUGUUUAACAUCUCACAAACUGCGCAUCUGUCAGCCAUGCAAGCAGAGGCUAACAUCAUCAAACGUCUCUACUUCACCAAGGACACCUCAGUGCUCUUCCCGACAGCUACCUUAGUUAAAGGGUUGUAGGUCCUGAAUAUCAACUGCCUCUGACAGACUGAGUAUAACAUCAAUUAUAUCAUUCCUGUCCUCUUUUAUUUUCAGAGGGUGAGGGGUUGGUCAUUGAUUUAGUGUUGUGUUUAUUACCUGUUGUAUUCAAUACAGUUUUGCAUUUUUCAAACAUAAUGAUCAGAGUCAGUGUUUAUUAACAUCUGAGAGAUCCGCAGGUGAUAGAUACAGUGGGUUCCAGGCCAGAUCGCCUUCUGGGACAAAGGCAUUUACCACCUAGUCAGCAAGCCCAGUCUAAAUUGGUUUACUAGAGCGCCUUUGCUGGUAACACCACAAAAGCUCAUGAUACCAUACAUGUUUUGUUAGUCUAUAAGGUGCUACUAGACUUUUUAAGUUUUUCCUGUUACAGACUAACUCUGCUACCCCUCUGAAGUUUUUAUAUAGUUUAUGUUAGCCAACAGACUUGCUGGGUCCCUGGGCAAGCUCAAGGUCCCUGAGGGGGGCUGGUUCUAUGCUCCCAGAAGGGGCGGGCCUGGGACAGCCAGCCCUCAGCACUGCUCAGGGAACGUUGCACUGCUCUCCCGAAUCAUACUGUGUAAUGCACUACAGGGCUCUGGUCGCCACUGUUCUUGCAGCAGAGGUGGCAGUGGGGAGCCCAGGGCCCCUUUCAAAACUCCCCCUUCCUCUGGUUGGCAGGCCUUGCUCUAUUAUACACAUAUGCCAAGAUCUACCACCCUGGAUAUGGUCAUUUUAAAAAGGGUCCGACAUUGCCAUAUGUCAUUUCAGAGUUUGGCCUUAUGCUAU